AUUUAGAAUAUGCAUAGAACAAUUAGAAUAGUUAGGAAUUUAGGUUGAUUAGUUUAAUUGGAUAGUUAGGAUUGUGAUUAGAGUGUUAGUGUUAUUGGAAGUUAAUUUUAGAAUUAAAAUUAGAUAAUGAUUUAGAAAACUAAAAAUAUUAGAAAUAAUUAGAUGUGAUUAGGAGGAUAAUUGUUAGUUACUGUUAAUGAUUAGGACAGAUUAGGAUUAACUUGUAUUUGUUAGAGUUAAUUUAGGUUAAUUAGUUUAGUUUGGAAUUUUAGAGUUAAUUAGUCAUUAGAUUUAAAUAGUCUUAGGAAUAUUAAACCUAGAUUAAACUUUUAGGAUUUUAGAAUAUGGAUUAGAUUAGUCUAAUAGAAUUUUAGGAAAUUGGUUUUUUUAGAAUUUUAAUUAGACAUUAAAAUUUGGUUAGAAUUUAAUUAGAAAGUGAUUAGAAAUAAUUUUAGGAUUAGAAUAUGUUAGAAAUAAUUUUAGAAAUGUUAAAUCUAGUUUAGAUAUAAUUAGAAUUUUCAUGUAUAGAUAUUACUCCCUAAUUGUGAAAUGACUAUUCUACCCCUAGGCUUAGAAAUAAUUCAAUCUUGCAUGCUCCCUUAAUUUUAGGACAUGUUAUCACUUGAUUAAAUGAAUUUCAUGUGGAGUUUGAGCUUCCGUUUUGGAUUUUUGUUCCUUUUUGGCCCUAGUCUUGGACUAGUGGUUUGUGAUCUCACUUUUGAGUUGUGUUUCAGGUUAAUGGCACAAAUGGCUUAUGCUUGAUGAUGUGCUUCCAUUGGAGUUGACUUGUGGCUCGUGUAUAGCUAAUUUUGACUUUGUUUUGCAGGGUUUGAUAUUUGAGUUUGAGCCUUAAUGGCUUGCACUUUGGUGCAUUGGCUUGUGUUUGUCUGUGUAUAGUUAAUUGUGAACCAUUUGCUGUUUAAUUCUGUGAUUGGUAUACUGAUUGUAUUUGAUUGAUUUCAGGUACAUUAGUUGCUAAGAUUGCUUUGCUUUGCUUGAUAAGCAAUUUGCACUGAGGUAUAACAUUCUUGUCUCCAUGUAGUCUGGAAGACCUGGCCUGUUACUUGGCCAGACACCUGUCUGAAGUCCUCCUUAAGAGGCGAUGUUUGUGCUUGUUUAUUUUUGUCCCCAAGCAGGUAAAGGCCUCUAUGAGGCAAUUGGAGGAUAAGAGAGAUAUGCAAUCUAUCUCCCGCUCUUCUGUUGAGUCAUCCCUCUGCUCACACCACUGUGUUGAUGCAUUGGGAUACAAACCCAAGAUCUUGUACAGUGUACAGUCGUGUCAGUGUCUUAAGUGUAGAAGGGUUCCCACUUCCUGGACCCACACUUCUUUGUCUGAAGCUCUCCCUGGCCAGGGAUAAGAGCUGUGAAGUCUUAUCUUCACUCACCUUUCAUCUGCUUCACCUUGGCUCUCAAUGUCAAGGUUAAGAGCAAAACUCACCCUGUACAGUUGGCUUGCUCUUGCAGCCCCACCCUUGUUUGAGCCUCACUUGUGUGCAUAUAGUGUGUGCUGUUUGUGAUUGUUUGCUAUUGCUUGUGCUUUAGGAUAGGCUUGCUUCCUGUGCAAGUUAGCUAGAAACCUUAACUUAGGGAUGAUUUUGCAUGAUAACAUCUAGGCUCGAGUCGUAGUCUCCCUAGUUGUGUCUCCCUAUGUUAUCUGGUUAGGCUAGUCAUGUGUCCCUCCGUAGGGGAACUAUGUCGCCCUGAUCCUCAUACCAGAUGAGGUACGUAGGCAGGAGAUGAGCAGAUCUCUCCGGGCGCCUGUGUCUUUGUUUUGUCUUGUUGUGUGCUUGGAAGCUGAUGUAAGUCCAUCGAGUGGCAUUCGGGUUCCAGUGUUUGUGUGUGUUUUGGUUCGGAUGCUGAUGUAAGUCCAGUGAUUGGCAUUUGGGCUCCACGUUUGCCUUCUUGUGUGUGUUUGGUUCGGAAGCUGAUGUAAGUCCAGCAAUUGGCAUUCGGGUUCCAUGUUUGCCCGUGUUUGUGUUGUUUUGUCUGGUGCGUCUUAGCCGAGCUACGGAUGCUCUGAUUCUCCUUCGUCCGAGGAGAUACGUAUGCAUAGGAUGCGAUAUCCUAGCGAGCAUGUGUUUUCCCAGUCCGAACUACUUAGACUCUGAUGUCUAUGCUUGAUAGACUAAGUAGGCCCAGGAUGCGAUGUCCUGCCGAGUCAGUUUCAGUCUUGUUUGUUUUCUUGUGUCUCUUUCAGCCAGUGUGUGUGUGUGAGCAGUGUUUUAGCAACCAUUUUCCUUCCUAUUGUGCGUGGAUCCCGUCGAGUACGACGGAUGCGUAGGGGUGCUAAUACCUUCCCUUCGCAUAACCGACUCCCGAUCCCAUUCUCUUUGGUCGCGAGACCAUGCUUUUUCCAGGUUUACUCUGAGCGUUUCCUUUCCCUCUUUUGGGAUAAAUAACGCACGGUGGCGGCUCUGUUGUCUUCGUUUCCCGCCGGUUUUUCGCGUAAUGCGACAGAUGAAAGAUCACACCACUCACCAUGGCUUGUUGUGAAGGAUCUCCCCAGAAAGUGACACUGCUGAAAGUAAAGAUCGGACGCAACGUAUACAGCUUAACCAACACGAGUAUCCUGCACAUUCCGAAGUAAGAAAGCAAUUCCACCAAAUUAAGGAGCACUGUGGAUCCUGUCAAAGCUGAACCAAACCAAGUGAGUCAUAAAAAGCCAAACACAUUAAUCAUCAUGAGCGUCAUUCAGGUUCUUCUUUAUCACUCUAAAUUUGCGUAGACUCUCUGGGACUGUCACUGCAUGAUACACACACUGAGGCACGUUGUUUGUAAUUAACCUCGAGCCUUUCUAGCCAUCCCGAAUUAUUAUAUCCCUCAUUAACCCCCUUUGAGCCUAUAUCCAUUUUUUUGUUUAAAACACCAUAAAUGUAACCAUUGGCCACAAUAUUUCCUCACCCUGUUUAGAGUCAUGAUAAUGCAUUCAAAGCUAUGUUUAAAAGCUAAGUUUGGGGUAAAAACCCCAAAAGCUCUCAAAGCCCAAGAAAGUGCAAAAACAAGAGAAAAAUAAAAAAAAUGAUGAAUCGAGAAAAAGAAAGAAAAAGAAAAAUUCGACAACUCGAAGAUUCAAAAGAAAGAAGCACGAAAAAGGGCAGUCAGUGAAAAAGAAAUAAGAAAAGAAAACUGAGGAAAUAAAAGAAACAAACACAUGAUGUAACAUCGACUCUGAACCAAAAGCCCCUUAUUUUCCUUUUUUAAUCCAUACCCUAACCCAAGCCAAGCUACAACCCUAAAGACCUCAAAAGUGUGUGUGUUAUGUGUAGGUGAUGAGAAAAGAGAGAUUAUUCAAACUUGUGAGUGAUAUUGCAUACUUUGAAUUAUGAGUGAAAACAGCUUACCCCAAGAGAAUUGGUGAGAAUGUGAUAUAAGCUAACAGGUGAAACAGUGCUUUGAAGUGGAAGUGUGAAUAAUGACUUACGAGGAUAGGCAGGACUUGUGGAAGGAAAAGGGAAGACGUUAGCGAAUGAUCUCAACAGUGGUGGAAAACAUGAAGAAUUCUGGGGAGUGAUCAUGAAACAUUACUUGGGACAAGCAAUGAGCUAAGUUUGGGGUUAUGAUCAGUCACCAUUUACAUUGAGUUUUCAUUAUUGAUCCAAAGCAAAAUAGAGACAUUUGACACACUGUGCAAGCAUUUAUGAUCCAGGUAGAAGAACCGGAGAACUCAGAACAAGACAGUGCGAGAUUCCGGCACGCAAAGGAGUAGAAAACCCCGGCACAGGAGGUCUGGCACGGCCACCCGUGUCACCUGACACGGGCCGUGUUAGGGCAAGGGAAGCAAGAGAAGAAAACAGUAGCCUGACACGGCCACCCGUGUCAGCUGACACGGGCCGUGUCAGGCAGAAACCUCAACCGUGUCAUCCUUGCCAUGGGCGUGUCAGCUUAAACAAUAGGCUGACAUGGCCACCCGUGUCAGCCCAAGCCCAAAAUUUCCAGUUUUCUCGGGCUUUUCAUUCUACGGGCUCUUUAGAGACAUCCUUGGACCUGUCCAACUGCUGCUGGGAACUUUCACUAUAAAAAGAGGUCUUCUGCCAAAGGAAAAAUCAUCUUGGAAUACGGCAAAACACAGUAUUGUGAAGCAAUCAAGUAUUACAGAGAUCAAGGCAUUUGGAGAGCUGAAGAUAUUCAUGAGCGGGAGCGAUUGAAGAUCAAAGUCAUCCAAUUACUUGUAAUGUGUAAUUUUUAUCUUAAAUUUGUUUUAAACAAUAUGAGUAGCUAAACCCCCCAAUGCUAGGGGGUGUCCCGGAUUUAGAAUUGUAAUGAAUUUGAGUUUACAUUUGCAUUUAUAAUAUUUUGUUUACGGUAA